UACGAAGGGGGCUAGCGUUGCUCGGAAUUACUGGGCGUAAAGCGCGCGUAGGCGGGCCGUUAAGUCGGGGGUGAAAGCCUGGGGCUCAACCUCAGAAUUGCCUUCGAUACUGGCGGCCUGGAGCAUGAUAGAGGCGAGUGGAAUUCCGAGUGUAGAGGUGAAAUUCGUAGAUAUUCGGAGGAACACCAGUGGCGAAGGCGACUCGCUGGAUCAUUGCUGACGCUGAGGCGCGAAAGCGUGGGUAGCAAACAGG
rnacentral:rRNA from 1 species